UAUGGUCACUCUAAUGUUUCUCUACGUGUGUGUGUGUGUGUGUUCUAGAGGAGGGAUGGUCGCAGUGUAAAGAAAGACCUCCUUGUUCAGAGAAAGACUAUUUUCAAAUCCACACGGCCUGUGAUAGUGACGGCAAGACCCAGAUGCUGUACAGGUGGGUGGAGCCUCAGGUGUGUGUGGAGAAUGUGACUGGUGCUGAGACGCUGCCUCCUUCUGGAGAGAAAGAGGACUGUCCGCCCUGCAAUCCAGGCUUUUACAUGCACAACUCUUCCACCUGUUUACCCUGCCCUCAAGGCACCUACUCUGAUGGCACCACAGAAUGUCAAAGAUGCCCGGGAGGAACUGAACCUUCUUUGGGAUAUGAAUACAAGUGGUGGAACAUCCUGCCGAGGAAUAUGAAAACGUCUUGUUUUAAUGUGGGCAACUCCAAAUGUGAUGAAAUU